CUGUGGCAGAUUCCAGAAAAGGUCUCCCUAUAAGAAGCUGCUGUCCUCCCUAUAACUUAUGGCACUGCGAUUUUUGCUCUUGAGCAUUGGGCCCGUACCCAGCCUGGGUAAUAUAGCUGCUGCUGGAAGUGACGAGAAGUGCAAGCUGGCGAUGCAGAGGGGUGCGCAGUCCAGCGUGAACUACAGUCAGGGCAGCCUGAAGGAUGCACCUGGCAUGGGAGGGCAGGAUUGUGGUGGUGGGAUUUGCUGGAGGAAACAUUGCUUCUGAACCAGCCAACCUUCUGCUCCUGAAGAAUAUCUCUGCUAUGGGCCUGUACUGUGGUCAAUACAAAGAUAUGAACUUUCCCGUCUUCUCCAAGAGCCUAUCUUCAGUGCUUCAGUACUGCCAGCAAGGGUGCAUCCAGCUAUAUGUCAGAAUGGUUUUCAAGCUGGACGAGUAAAGGAUUAGGAUGAAGCCUG
rnacentral:lncRNA from 1 species